rnacentral:rRNA from 1 species
UACGUAGGGUGCGAGCGUUAAUCGGAAUUACUGGGCGUAAAGCGUGCGCAGGCGGUUCGGUGUGUCUGCGGUGAAAACCCCGGGCUCAACCUGGGAAUGGCCGUUGAAACUGGCGAACUGGAGUGUGGCAGAGGGGGGUGGAAUUCCGCGUGUAGCAGUGAAAUGCGUAGAGAUGCGGAGGAACACCGAUGGCGAAGGCAGCCCCCUGGGCUAACACUGACGCUCAGGCACGAAAGCGUGGGGAGCAAACAGG